CGAGUUUACAACUCCCAAACCCAAUGUGAACGUUACCAAACUGUUGCCUCGGCGGGAUCUCUGCCCCGGGUGCGUCGCAGCCCCGGACCAAGGCGCCCGCCGGAGGACCAACCAAAACUCUUAUUGUAUACCCCCUCGCGGGUUUUUUUUAUAAUCUGAGCCUUCUCGGCGCCUCUCGUAGGCGUUUCGAAAAUGAAUCAAAACUUUCAACAACGGAUCUCUUGGUUCUGGCAUCGAUGAAGAACGCAGCGAAAUGCGAUAAGUAAUGUGAAUUGCAGAAUUCAGUGAAUCAUCGAAUCUUUGAACGCACAUUGCGCCCGCCAGUAUUCUGGCGGGCAUGCCUGUCCGAGCGUCAUUUCAACCCUCGAACCCCUCCGGGGGGUCGGCGUUGGGGAUCGGCCCUGCCUUGGCGGUGGCCGUCUCCGAAAUACAGUGGCGGUCUCGCCGCAGCCUCUCCUGCGCAGUAGUUUGCACACUCGCAUCGGGAGCGCGGCGCGUCCACAGCCGUUAAACACCCAACUUCUGAAAUGUUGACCUCGGAUCAGGUAGGAAUACCCGCUGAACUUAAGCAUAUCAAUACGCC
rnacentral:rRNA from 1 species